rnacentral:rRNA from 1 species
AUACGGAGGGUGCAAGCGUUAUCCGGAUUUAUUAGGUUUAAAGGGUCCGUAGGCGGGAAUAUAAGUCAGUGGUGAAAUCCUGCAGCUUAACUGUAGAACUGCCAUUGAUACUGUAUUUCUUGAGUUUAGUCGAGGUAGGCGGAAUGUAUAAUGUAGCGGUGAAAUGCUUAGAUAUUACACAGAACACCGAUUGCGAAGGCAGCUUACUAGGCUAUAACUGACGCUGAUGGACGAAAGCGUGGGGAGCAAACAGGAUUAGAUACCCUAGUAGUCC